CGCCCCGCGCGGUGUCUGCGCCGCUCCCCGGGCACGCAGCCGCUCGGCCUGCGCUCGCACGUAGCUGUCCCUCCGCCACCUGCCCCUGAGUCACAGCUCGGGUCCUGCCCCAGAUCAGGGGAUUUCCCAGCGCCCAGCUCAAAGGCUUGCGUGCCGAGAAGCCUCCUCGCAGGCAGCUGGAAAUCGUCUCCGAAGACACAUUCCUGGACAAGCCAGAGCUGAGAAUGUCGCCGAGUGGGUGGAAGUCCCUGAGGACUUUGCUGAGUUUUGUGGGUUCUGUCCCUGCAGUGAGCACGGGGAGAGAAGAUCAUGCUGCAGAGUGCUUCCAAGUAUGAACAAACCUAAAUGAAGACAGCUGGUAGAGGCUCUUGUCAUCUAAUUCCUUCCA